UAAGGAGGUUAGGGGAGCCAAACCCGGGUUUGAUAAUAAAAGACUCUCUGCUUUUGCAUCGGACUAGGCUGGCUCCCUGGUGUGGUCUAUUGGGGAUCUUGAAAUC